AUUCCAGACUCCUACGGGAGGCAGCAGUGGGGAAUAUUGCACAAUGGGGGAAACCCUGAUGCAGCGACGCCGCGUGAGCGAUGAAGUAUUUCGGUAUGUAAAGCUCUAUCAGCAGGGAAGAAAAUGACGGUACCUGACUAAGAAGCCCCGGCUAACUACGUGCCAGCAGCCGCGGUAAUACGUAGGGGGCAAGCGUUAUCCGGAUUUACUGGGUGUAAAGGGAGCGUAGACGGCGAUGCAAGCCAGAUGUGAAAGCCCGGGGCUCAACCCCGGGACUGCAUUUGGAACUGUAUAGCUAGAGUGUCGGAGAGGCAGGCGGAAUUCCUAGUGUAGCGGUGAAAUGCGUAGAUAUUAGGAGGAACACCAGUGGCGAAGGCGGCCUGCUGGACGAUGACUGACGUUGAGGCUCGAAAGCGUGGGGAGCAAACAGGAUUAGAUACCCCGGUAAU
rnacentral:rRNA from 1 species